AUUGAACGCUGGCGGAAUGCUUUACACAUGCAAGUCGAACGGCAGCUCGGACUUCGGUCUGGUGGCGAGUGGCGAACGGGUGAGUAAUGUAUCGGAACGUGCCCAGUCGUGGGGGAUAACGUAGUGAAAAUUACGCUAAUACCGCAUACGAUCUAUGGAUGAAAGCGGGGGAUCGCAAGACCUCGCGCGAUUGGAGCAGCCGAUAUCAGAUCAGGUAGUUGGUGGGGUAAAGGCCCACCAAGCCAACGAUCUGUAGCUGGUCUGAGAGGACGACCAGCCACACUGGAACUGAGACACGGUCCAGACUCCUACGGGAGGCAGCAGUGGGGAAUUUUGGACAAUGGGCGAAAGCCUGAUCCAGCCAUUCCGCGUGCAGGAUGAAGGCCCUCGGGUUGUAAACUGCUUUUGUACAGAACGAAAAGGUUUCUACUAAUACUAGGAGCUCAUGACGGUACUGUAAGAAUAAGCACCGGCUAACUACGUGCCAGCAGCCGCGGUAA
rnacentral:rRNA from 1 species